CAUCAGUUUUUGCGUACUUUGAAGUUCUAAACCAAUUGAGAGUUGAUGUGAACUGUCAGUUCUAACCAAAUUUAGUCAUUUCUUUGUCAUGAGAUAUGGCCUGCAAAACCCUACUGACAGGAUGAUGCUUCGAGAGGAGGCUUUGGCACAACAUACUGAUGGGACUGGGGAAAAUGAAGGAGGUGGACCUCUCAAUUUGGUCAGAACUCUACUAGGUGGAGCUGUGAUGGUGAUGAAGAAACAGGUGAUGCAACAGAAGGAGCAGACAUGGAAGAAGACUAGGUGAAAUUAUAAAAGAGACAACUGGAAAUUGAUGAGCCUUGGCCUUAGCUUAUGAUGGUCCUUUUUAGUUUUUGCUCUGCUGUUAGCGGUGCAUGUGGUAUAACUUCUUUUUAGUUUUUGUUGUGCACACUGAUGCUACAGUUUUUUUUUUUCGAACUGCUGGAUACUAUACUUGGAUGUUGGUCGUUGCGUUCCUUGUAGUGGAACACAA